GGAGUUGUGGCUCAGUGGUAGAGCGCUUUCCUAGCUUGUGAGAGGCACUGGGUUUGAUUCUCACCACUAUA
rnacentral:tRNA from 1 species